rnacentral:rRNA from 1 species
CCCUUAGACGUUCUGGGCCGCACGCGCGCUACACUGACCAGUGCAACAAGCAUCCGUCCUUGGCCGACAGGCUCGGGCAAUCUUUGAACGCUGGUCGUGAUGGGGAUAGACUUUUGCAAUUUUUGGUCUUCAACGAGGAAUUCCUAGUAAACGCAAGUCAUCAACUUGCAUUGAUUUCGUCCCUGCCCUUUGUACACACCGCCCGUCGCACCUACCGAUUGAAUGGUCCGGUGAAGCCUCCGGAUUGGCGCGCACCUCGGUGCCGCCGAGAAGUUGGCUAAACCUUACCAUUUAGAGGAAGGUGAAGUCGUAACA